rnacentral:rRNA from 1 species
GUAAGCGGAGGAAAAGAAACUAACUAGGAUUCCCUUAGUAGCGGCGAGCGAACAGGGAAGAGCCCAGCACCGAACCUCGCGCUUGGUUAAGCGGGUGCAGAGGAAUGUGGUGUUAGGGAGGACCGUGCGCGUCUGUCCGGCAUUUAUCGUCCAAGUCUUCAUGAACGGGGCAUUACCCACAGAGGGUGUCAGGCCCGUAGGCUGGCGAGCCGCGACCGUGUAUCGGGUCUCUUCCCAAGAGUCGGAUUGCUUGAGCGUGCAGUCCUAAGCGGGAGGUAAACUCCUUCUAAGGCUAAAUAUCGCCACGAGACCGAUAGCGAACAAGUACCGCGAGGGAAAGUUGAAAAGAACUUUGAAGAGAGAGUUCAAUAGUGCGUGAAACCGUUCAGGGGGUUAAACGGGUGAGCCCUCGAAGGUCGAAAAGUGUCCCCGCUCCCGUUGUGCGACUGUCGGACAUUUCUGCCGCUCUGAUCUCUUUCGGGAGACGGAGUGGUGUUGUGUUUCUCGGCGGUCGCCGGCUGCAAGUGGGGGACCUAGUAGGACUCCGCGACCGACUGGGUGUGCUGUUAUAAGGAACUCUGAUUUCCAGCGAGUUUGUGGGGGCUUGCCUUCGCUUCUUGUUGUGUGCGGAGUCUCUGAGCAGUCCUGCCCGGUCGUGACCUGUCAUUCGCCCGUACCUUCGUGGUAACGUCGGUGAACCAGAGCGGAGAGUAGAAGUCGGGUCUCACCCGACCCGUCUUGAAACACGGACCAAGGAGUCUAACAUGUGCGCGAGUCGUCGAGUCACAAUCGAAACUCGUGAGGCGCAAUGAAAGUAAAACAGCCCUGAUGAAGGUGUUCUGUAAGGGAAGAUCUCGUCUUUUAUUUUUUUACAAACCGAAGCGAGCGCAUUCCCAGGGCGUUCGAAGCCGCGACUUAGUCGGCCGAACGAACCUAGAGCGUACACGUUGGGACCCGAAAGAUGGUGACCUAUGCCUGGCCAGGACGAAGCCAGGGGAAACCCUGGUGGAGGUCCGCAGCGAUUCUGACGUGCAAAUCGAUCGUCGGAGUUGGGUAUAGGGGCGAAAGACUAAUCGAACCAUCUAGUAGC